AUUGAACGCUCGCGGCAGGCCUAACACAUGCAAGUCGAACGAGUGGCGGACGGGUGAGUAAUGUCUGGGAAACUGCCUGAUGGAGGGGGAUAACUACUGGAAACGGUAGCUAAUACCGCAUACCAUCAGAUGUGCCCAGAUGGGAUUAGCUUGUUGGUGGGGUAACGGACCACCAAGGCGACGAUCCCUAGCUGGUCUGAGAGGAUGACCAGCUUCACUGGAACAGGGACACGGGCCAGCCUCCUACGGUAGGCAGGAGUGAGGGAUAUUGCACAGUGGGCAGAAGCCUGAUGCAGCCAUGCCGCGUGUAUGAAGAGGGCCUUCGGGUUGUAUAGUACUUUCGGCGUUGAGGCGUUACACGCAGAAGAAGCACCGGCUAACUCCGUGCCAGCGGCCGCGGUAAUUC
rnacentral:rRNA from 1 species